UCCUUAGUAGCUCAGUUGGUUAGAGCACCUGACUGUUAAUCAGGGGGUCCCAGGUUCAAGUCCUGGCUGAGGAG
rnacentral:tRNA from 1 species